rnacentral:rRNA from 1 species
AACGAACGCUGGCGGCAGGCUUAACACAUGCAAGUCGAACGCCCCGCAAGGGGAGUGGCAGACGGGUGAGUAACGCGUGGGAACGUGCCCUUCGCUUCGGAAUUGCCCCGGGAAACUGGGAGUAAUACCGAAUACGCCGUAUUGGGAAAGAUUUAUCGGCGAAGGAUCGGCCCGCGUUAGAUUAGCUAGUUGGCGGUGUAAUGGACCACCAAGGCUACGAUCUAUAGCUGGUCUGAGAGGAUGAUCAGCCACACUGGGACUGAGACACGGCCCAGACUCCUACGGGAGGCAGCAGUGGGGAAUCUUGGACGAUGGGCGCAAGCCUGAUCCAGCCAUGCCGCGUGAGUGAAGAAGGCCUUAGGGUUGUAAAACUCUUUCGCCGGAGAAGAUAAUGACGGUAUCCGGAGAAGAAGCCCCGGCUAACUUCGUGCCAGCCGCCGCCGUAACAC